ACAGUUUGUCAAUGAACAAGUUUGAAUUAUCCCUUAUGGAUUUCAUAACAAAUCUGACAUAUCUAGUCAUAGUGUAGAUCAAUAGUACAGUAUGUUGUAUGGGAACUUGUAUUAAAUAUACACUUCAUUCCCUUAAUUAAAUUCAUAAGUUCACAAUACUAUUGCCUAGCAUAUAAAUAAUUUAUGGCACCUCAUGCAUUUAGUAAAA